rnacentral:rRNA from 1 species
GAGAAUCUUCCACAAUGCACGAAAGUGUGAUGGAGCAAUGCCGCGUGCUAGAAGAAGGCCUUCGGGUCGUAAAUAGCUGUUCUGAGGGACGAAUUUGUGACGGUACCUCAGCAGAAAGGGGUUGCUAACUCUGUGCCAGCAGCAGCGGUAAUACAGAGACCCCGAGCGUUGACCGGAUUUAUUGGGCGUAAAGCGUGCGCAGGCUGUCUUGUAAGUCAUCUGUUAAAUCUUCAGGCUCAACCUGGAGGCUGCGGGUGAUACUGCAAGACUAGAGUAUGGGAGAGGUCAGCGGAAUGCCUAGUGUAGGGGUAAAAUCCGUUAAGAUUAGGUAGAACACCAAAUGCGAAAGC